AUAGCUUACGUACAGUCUUUGGCUUGCAGUCCACGAAGAACAAACAUCAAACUUGUUCCUGUUUACACACCGUUGCCUGUAUUAAGCGAUUCAGAGAUCAGGAUGAACCCAAGACUUGUAUUAAUGCUGUUGGCCUUGGUUGUUAUGGCCACGUCAAUGACGAUCAGAAAUGAUAAGGAAGAGAACCAUGACGAUGUGAUGAAGCGCGGCUGCUCUCCUCGCUGUGUUAAGUGCCAGGGGAGGUUUGGUCUAACUCACAAUUCUUGCUGC